CCUACGGGAGGCAGCAGUGGGGAAUUUUGGACAAUGGGCGAAAGCCUGAUCCAGCAAUGCCGCGUGAGUGAAGAAGGCCUUCGGGUUGUAAAGCUCUUUUGUCAGGGAAGAAACGGUGGGUUCUAAUACAGCCUGCUAAUGACGGUACCUGAAGAAUAAGCACCGGCUAACUACGUGCCAGCAGCCGCGGUAAUACGUAGGGUGCAAGCGUUAAUCGGAAUUACUGGGCGUAAAGCGUGCGCAGGCGGUUUUGUAAGUCUGUCGUGAAAUCCCCGGGCUCAACCUGGGAAUGGCGAUGGAGACUGCAAGGCUAGAGUUUGGCAGAGGGGGGUAGAAUUCCACGUGUAGCAGUGAAAUGCGUAGAUAUGUGGAGGAACACCGAUGGCGAAGGCAGCCCCCUGGGUCAAGACUGACGCUCAUGCACGAAAGCGUGGGGAGCAAACAGGAUUAGAUACCCUGGUAGUCCACGCCCUAAACGAUGUCUACUAGUUGUCGGGUCUUAAUUGACUUGGUAACGCAGCUAACGCGUGAAGUAGACCGCCUGGGGAUGCGGUCGCAAGAUUAAAACUUAAGGAAUUGACGG
rnacentral:rRNA from 1 species